AUUAGGGAGACAUAAGUCUUCAGAAGGUUAUAAUAAAGUACAUUAUCUACUUCAGAAAUAGGGCUAUUAGCUCAGCUGGUUAGAGCACACCCCUGAUAAGGGUGAGGUCUCUGGUUCAAGUCCAGAAUAGCCCACAUGGGGAUAUAGCUCAGUUGGUAGAGCGCUGCCUUUGCACGGCAGAUGUCAGCGGUUCGAGUCCGCUUAUCUCCACAUGAUAUUUAUAUCAUAACUAAAUCUUGAAAACUGUAGAGUGGCAGAUAUAGAAAA
rnacentral:tRNA from 1 species